rnacentral:rRNA from 1 species
UACGAGGGGGGCAAGCGUUGUUCGGAAUUAUUGGGCGUAAAGGGCGCGUAGGCGGUUUGACAAGUCUGAUGUGAAAUCUAUGGGCUCAACCCAUAGUCUGCAUUGGAAACUGUCGGGCUUGAGUAUGGGAGAGGUGAGUGGAAUUUCCGGUGUUGCGGUGACAUGCGUAGAUAUCUGGAGGAACACCUGAGGCGAAAGCGGCUCACUGGACCAUAACUGACGCUGAGGCGCGAAAGCUAGGGGAGCAAACAGG